UUCCGGUUGAUCCUGCCGGACCUGACUGCUAUCGGAUUGAUACUAAGCCAUGCGAGUCUUUGUAGUAAUACAAGGCAUACGGCUCAGUAACGCGUAGUCAACCUACCCUAUGGACAAGAAUAAUCUCGGGAAACUGAGCAUAAUUCUUGAUAGAUCAUAAUGCCUGGAAUGGUUUAUGGUUAAAAUGAUUCGUCGCCAUAGGAUGGGACUGCGGCCUAUCAGCUUGUUGGUGAGGUAAUGGCCCACCAAGGCGAUUACAGGUACGGGCUCUGAGAGGAGAAGCCCGGAGAUGGGUACUGAGACAAGGACCCAGGCCCUAUGGGGCGCAGCAGGCGAGAAAACUUUGCAAUGUGCGAAAGCACGACAAGGUUAGUCCGAGUGAUUUCUGCUAAAGAGAUCUUUUGCUAGUUAUAAAACCACUAGUGAAUAAGGGGUGGGCAAGUUCUGGUGUCAGCCGCCGCGGUAAAACCAGCACCUCAAGUGGUCAGGAUGAUUAUUGGGCCUAAAGCAUCCGUAGCCGGCUCUGUAAGUUUUCGGUUAAAUCUAUGCGCUCAACGUAUGGGCUGCCGAAAAUACUGCAGAGAUAGGGAGUGGGAGAGGUAGACGGUACUCGGUAGGAAGGGGUAAAAUCCUUUGAUCUAUCGAUGACCACCUGUGGCGAAGGCGGUCUACCAGAACACGUUCGACGGUGAGGGAUGAAAGCUGGGGGAGCAAACCGGAUUAGAUACCCGGGUAGUCCCAGCUGUAAACGAUGCAGACUCGAUGAUGCAUUGGCAUAUAGCCAGUGCAGUGUCGCAGGGAAGCCGUUAAGUCUGCCGCCUGGGAAGUACGUACGCAAGUAUGAAACUUAAAGGAAUUGGCGGGGGAGCACCACAAGGGGUGAAGCCUGCGGUUCAAUUGGAGUCAACGCCGGG
rnacentral:rRNA from 1 species